rnacentral:rRNA from 1 species
UAAUACGUAGGGGGCGAGCGUUGUCCGAAGUUACUGGGCGUAAAGCGCGCGUAGGCGGGCUAAUAAGUCGGAAGUGAAAGGCUGGGGCUCAACCUCAUGCAGUGCUUCCGAUACUGUUGGUCUUGAGUGCGUCAGGGAGAAGUGGAAUGGCUGGUGUAGCGGUGAAAUGCGUAGAUAUCAGUCGGAACACCGGUGGCGAAGGCGGCUUCUUGGGGCGUUACUGACGCUGAGGCGCGAAAGCUGGGGGAGCGAACGGGAUUAGAUACCCCGGUAGUCCCAGCCGUAAACGAUGGAUACUAGGUGUCGGGGGUAUCGACCCCCUCGGUGCCGCAGCUAACGCAUUAAGUAUCCCGCCUGGGGAGUACGGCCGCAAGGUU